rnacentral:rRNA from 1 species
UCUAGCCAUGGGCAGGUUGAAGGUUGGGUAACACUAACUGGAGGACCGAACCGACUAAUGUUGAAAAAUUAGCGGAUGACUUGUGGCUGGGGGUGAAAGGCCAAUCAAACCGGGAGAUAGCUGGUUCUCCCCGAAAGCUAUUUAGGUAGCGCCUCGUGAAUUCAUCUCCGGGGGUAGAGCACUGUUUCGGCAAGGGGGUCAUCCCGACUUACCAACCCGAUGCAAACUGCGAAUACCGGAGAAUGUUAUCACGGGAGACACACGGCGGGUGCUAACGUCCGUCGUGAAGAGGGAAACAACCCAGACCGCCAGCUAAGGUCCCAAAGUCAUGGUUAAGUGGGAAACGAUGUGGGAAGGCCCAGACAGCCAGGAUGUUGGCUUAGAAGCAGCCAUCAUUUAAAGAAAGCGUAAUAGCUCACUGGUCGAGUCGGCCUGCGCGGAAGAUGUAACGGGGCUAAACCAUG